rnacentral:lncRNA from 1 species
GUUCUUUGGGUCCUAGUGUUGGAAAUGUUUAACAAAUGGGGACAAUAGUUGCAUGCUUCCAGAGCAAGGAGACCUAUUCCCACCAGUAGCUUUGGGAACUAGACUUAUAGAUUGUUUAGUAGAAACAAAUAGAAAGGUUCGUAUCUCUCUAUGGAUGGACCAAAGGCAGCGUUGUAUGCGUGAGGCCUAGGGUUGGCUUUAUCCCCCUCUCUAUCCCCAACUACUCCUGGGUCAUGUCUUGUCUUCUUUCCUUCCUUAAGAGCGCCCUUCAAUUGACACAUUAGUCAAUUUUUACCUUCAUCAAAGAUGCUUUUUUUUUUGUCUUUUGUCUUUUUAGGGCUGCUCCUACAGCAUAUGGAGAUUCCCAGGCUAGGGGUCUAAUCAGAGCUAUAGCUGCCAGCCUACACCAGAGCCACAGCAACUCUGGAUCUGAGCCCCGUCACGGCAACACCGGAUCCUUAACCCACUGAGCAAGGCCAGGGAUCAAACCUGCAACCUCAUGGUUCCUAGUCGGAUUCGUUUACCCUGUGCCAUGACAGGAACUCCCCCAAAGAUGACUGUUAAUUAGAUAUGUGAAUCUGCAAUGUGUGUGUCUCCACCAGGAAUUUUGAAAGGAUAUUCUCUAGGGUACAGAAAAAAAAAGGAGGGUACUUAGCCUCCCUACUGUAAUGCACAUAAAUUUUUAUUACUAAGUGAAUAAAAGCCAUGAUCAGAGUCUGAAUCCUGUUCUUUGGGAUCCCUGUGCUCAGCCUGCUCUGCGUAUCCCAUUAUACCAGCCUUGGCUGGGAGCCGUAGAAAUACCACCGUAAGUGAUCCCAUCUUACCCUCGAAUGGAACCGUCAGUGUUACUCUAUAAAUCAGCUGGAAAAUGAGCCUGCACUCACUGAAGGAGCUUUUGCCAGCUCCCAGGAGACCACUGAGAAGUGCGUUCAUGAGGAGGGAGAGGAGUAACUGGGAACACAAGCUAGGGGCUAUUGGGAAGUUGGUACAUGUUAGCGGGCAGAGUGCCAGUGAAUAUUUAUUAUUCAGGAGUUCCUGCUGUGGUUCAGUGGGUUAAGAACCCGACAUAGUGUCCAUGAAGAUGGGGUUCUAUCCCUGGCUUCACUCAGUGGGUUAAGGAUCUGGCACAGCCCCAAGAUUCGGCCUAGGUUACAGAUGUGGCUCAGAUCCAGUGUUGCUGUGGCUGUGGCAUAGGCCUCAGCUGCAGUUCUGAUUGGCCCCUAGCCUGGGAACUUCCAUAUGAUGCAGGUGUGGUUG